GAUGAACGCUAGCGACAGGCCUAACACAUGCAAGUCGAGGGGCAGCACAAGGAGCAAUCUGAGGUGGCGACCGGCGCACGGGUGAGUAACACGUAUGCAACCUACCUGUAAGAGGGGAAUAACCCGUUGAAAAACGGACUAAUACCGCAUAACACUGUAGAACCGCAUGGUUUGACAGUUAAACAUUUAUGGCUUACAGAUGGGCAUGCGCAUGAUUAGCUAGUUGGUGAGGUAACGGCUCACCAAGGCAACGAUCAUUAGGGGUUCUGAGAGGAAGGUCCCCCACACUGGUACUGAGACACGGACCAGACUCCUACGGGAGGCAGCAGUGAGGAAUAUUGGUCAAUGGGCGAGAGCCUGAACCAGCCAAGUCGCGUGAAGGAUGAAGGUUUUAUGAAUUGUAAACUUCUUUUGCAGGGGAAUAAAGUGCGGUACGUGUACCGUUUUGUAUGUACUCUGCGAAUAAGGAUCGGCUAACUCCGUGCCAGCAGCCGAC
rnacentral:rRNA from 1 species